GUCUAUGGCCAUGCUACCCUGAACAGGCCCACUACUGUCUGAUCUUGGAAGCUAAGCAGAGUUGGGCCUGGUUAGUAUUUGGAUGGGAGACCACCUAGGAAGCCCAGAUGCUGUAGGUG
ensembl:rRNA 5S_rRNA 5S ribosomal RNA